GCAAAAAAGAGGAGGACUGGAAGUAGUUACCUCAGGGCUAAUCUUCCUCAGGAGAAAAAAAAAGUUCAAUUUGUUAGUUAAACAUCUUCUUUUAGUACCUAUCCCAGAGGUAAUAAUAAUCAUCUAUGACCAAUCACAGUCAAAUUCUUUUACUACUUCCCUGUUAAAGCUGGGACUUUAGAAUGGUUUGUCUCCAUUUAUUCCCCCUCUUCCUUUUUGUUCUCUUGAAUUUUAAUUCGAGAUAUAUUUAAAACUUCACAAGACAUAACCACUAUUGUUUUGUAUGGUCAAUAUUCACAUAUAUUUUAAAUAUAUGCCCUUUCUAGUGCUCUUCAUUCUUUCCCUCAUUUUUGCACUUAUAUCUGGGAUCAUUUUCCUUCUGCCUAAAGAAGUCCUUUUAGUGUUUCUUUUUAGUGCAGGCUACCUCGUGAUGAAUUAUCUCAAUUUAUGUAUUUUGCUGUUAUUUUUUAAGGAUAUUUUUGCUGAGUAUGUGAAGGAGUAAGAAAUUCACUCUCCCUCUAGUGUGAGGAGUUGCAUAAUAAAAACACAGAUAACAGAGCGUCAUGAAGAAUCAGCCCCUUUCAGUGAGCCAUGCCUGUUGUCCCCAUCCUUGUGGGAAUUUAAAAACUCUUCUUCACUAUUAAUUUACUGAGAUUUUAGAAAGACUGAAAUGAUAUGUCCAAUCUCCCAUGUUAACCCAGAAUUCUUAUUUUACUUUUUUCUUGAGAUUUUUAUCCACCAAUUUUUUUGCUGAUGCAUUCUAAAUGUGAAGUUCUAUCUAUAUUACUUUUGUCCUGCUGUGUUAAAAAUUGCCACAAAUAUAGCAGCUUAAAAGAACAUAUGUUUAUCAACUCAGUUUCUGCGGGUCAGGAAUCUGGGCGUGGCUUAACUGGGUCUUCUGCUCAGGGUGUUGGCCAGGCUGUGUUCUCAUCUGCAGUUUGGUGUUCUCUUUCAAGAUCACAUGGUUGUCAGCAGAAUUCGGUUCCUCAUAGUUGUAGAACUGAGGGUCUCAGCUACCAGAGACUGCCUGCAUUUCCCUGCCAUGUGGUUCUCGCCACAGGCCGCUUACAACAGGGCUGUUUGCUUCUUUGAGGCCAGCAAAAACUCUCUCUCAUCUACUAAGAGUCUUAUAUAACAUAAUAUACUCACGAGAAUACUAUCCUAUUGUAUUUGCCAAGAGCAUAACUUACUCUAGGAGGUAACAUCCUAUCAUCUUUGCCACAUAAUGCAAUCCACUCAAAGGAGGGCCAUCCCAUCCACCUUUGCCAUGUUCCACUGGUUAAAAGCAAGUCAAAUGUCUGCACUUAAGGACAGGGGUUUACACAAGGAAUGUGACUCAUUAGGGGUCACGCUAGGGUGUGUCUGUUACACAAUCUAUACAGCAUAAUGCUCUGUUUCUUUCCUACAAUGAAAGAAAUGCUUGAAUUCCCUUUAUUUUGAUGUUUUUAACACUUUUUUCUCCUCUGUGUCUUUUUGCUUACCCAUCUUUCUCACAGAUAAUGCAGACAAUUCAUGUUACAAGUGAGAAAUCUGAAGCUCAAAGGUGAAAUUAUUUACUCCCCUUUCUCAGUCUCUUUCCCUAAUUUCUAUAAAUCAAAAUUUUAUGAUGAAAGCCCUUAUAAAUAAUAAAUUUAUACAAAUAAAACAUGUUUAGUGUAGAAAAGAUGGAAAGCACAAGUAAGCAUAAACAAAAUAAAAGUCCUCUGGGAUCAUGGAAUUUUGAUGUCAGCUAUUUCUAAAUCAGCCAGUGUACUCAUACUAAUGAAAAUGAAUUCUUGUCCUGGACAAGAUUCAUAGCAUCAUUGAUGUGGCACCCAGUAAACCCUAGUGCAUUAUUUCAGCAACUUGCUAAUUAAGAAAACACCACUGUGGAUGGGUAGUAUUUCUUGGGAACCCUGACCAUAACAAAUGGGAAGUAAUUUUUACCCUGGGGAUCCUGGAAUAUCCCAGAAAUGGAGUUGUUUAGGCGACUUUCAUUUUCACCCAUAACCAGGUCUAUCCUCUUUCUGUUGAACAUGUGUGGGUUUCUCCACUGGGAGUGAUUUGGCACACCCAGGGGACAUUUGGUUGUUGUGAGGUGGGGAGCAGAGAGGAGGGGAGAAAGAUGCUAUUGGCUUCUAGUAGGCAGAGGCCAGGGAUAUUGCUAAAUACCCUACAAGGUACAGGACAGCCCCCACAGCAAAGAAGUAGCCAGCCCAGUGUCAAUAGUGCCAAGGUUGAGAAGCCCCAGUGCUCUCCUUCCUUUGCAGUGAAGUGACCAAGUCCAUGAUGUGUCUAAAACUUGAGGGCAUGGUUUCUGCCACACCUCCUUAUGUCACCAACUUUGCUUCCCUGAGGCAACCAAACAUUAUUCACAGAACACCAACAACCUGGUUGUCAUUUCUGUCAUAUCUUGGGGCAAGGUCUAGCUGGAUAUCUGUCUAAGCAGGGGGGCGAUGACUAGGAGAAUCCAGAAUCCAAUAUUUGGUCCUGUCUUUGCCCUCUGGGGUACUGCAGGCACUGAGAGGACAUAAGCAGCUAUGGGCUUUGGGAGAAAAUCCUACUGCAGAAAUAGGGCAGCCAUUGAAAGUGUGGAGACAGAACGCAUCCUGAAGGCUCUUACACAAUAUAAGGUGGACAGAACAGGGCCGUGGGGCGUCCAGGAGAAGGGAAUAUUCAGAAGCCUGAGGGCAACAAGAAGGGAAGGGCCAUAUUCACAAUAGCUAAUGUUUAAUAAUAGCCGAUACUUAACGAGUCCCUCAGUGGCAGGCAAUUCACUAAUAUGCACUUUUCAUCCCUUCUCUCCUUACUCCUCACAACAACUCUAUGAAAUAACUACUAUUAUUAUCUCUGCCGAAGCGAAGAAACUGAGGCUCAGAAAAGUGAAGUAACCUGUCGAAGUCAUGGAACCUUACUGUUGAGUCGACUCCGACUCCUAGCGACCCCCUGUACAGCAGAGAAGAACUGUGCCUGGUCUUUUGCGCCCCCUGGGCUGAAGCAGUGAGAACAGGAAUCUCACCCACUGGACCACCAGUAUAGGCUGUGGCAGACAGAGAGAAGUACCACUCAGAUAAUCCUUCAAGAAAGAACCUGUCCAGCUGCUAUGAGUGUGGUUGUUUACAGCCUCCAGCUGUUCUCUUCCUCGGGUCUACUUUGGUUUCAAGCCAGGGUCUGCUCUUCUUGGAGAAGCCUCCAGGACAAUGUCUGAGCAAAGCGGUGGUGGCUGACUGCAGGUUCCUCUCAGGGCAGCUUCCAGACAGUGACUGAAACAGACGGUGGGACAAGGGCCUAGCUGUUUCCACCCAACGUGGGACUCUUCUACAGGGCAGCCUUUGCUCUGGAGCUCCUUUUGGGGUGCAGAGACGUGGGGUCAAAUUGACAUUGCUAUCUGAUAUAGGGUAACUUCCUGACCUGCAGGAAGUUAUGGAGAUGUUAAUAAAACAUGGCAUUCCUGUUGACAAAUUCAUUGGCAGUGUACAAGGUACAUGUGUAUGAAUAUGUAUAUAUAUUCAAAAGAAAGCAAGAAUGGAAGAAAAGGAGACUGAGUGUGUUUGCCCUCCAAAAAUUUAUGGUCACUUGCCCUGUUUCUGAGUGUUUUCUAAUAACCUUAAAGAAAAACCCCACUGAUUUCUAGCUUAGUUCCAUAUUUUGUACGAUCUCAAUCCUUUGAAAUUUGAAAAGACUUGCUUUAUGGCCUAGCAUACAGUUCAUCUUGGUCAAUGUUCCAUGGGCUUUUGAAAAGAAUCUUUAGUCUGUAGUUGUUGGGUUUUGUGUAUCUAUAAGUCAAUUAGGUCAAAUGGGUUAAUCAUGUUGUUUAAAUCUACUAUAUUCUGGCUGAUAUUUUUACCUUCUUGGUCCAUCAGGUACUAAGUGAGAUAUGUUAAAAUCUCCAAUUAUUCUACACAAAUACCUGCAGUGGAUGUUUAUAGCAGCUUUAUUCAUAAUUGUCAAAACUUGGAAGCAAUCUAGAUGUCCUUCAGUGGGUGAAUGGAUAAACUGUGAUACACCCACACAACAGAAUAUUAUUCAGCAUUAAAAAUAAAUGAGCUAUCAAGCUAUGAAAAGAUAUGGAGGAAACUUAAAUGCAUAUUACUAAGUGACAGAGAUGAAUCUGAAAAGGUUCAUACUGUGUGAUUCCAAUUACGUGACAUUCUGGAAAAGGCAAAACUAUGAAGACAGUAAAAAGAUUGGUGGUUGCCAGCAGUUGAGGGGAGGGAGGGAUGAUAGGCAGAGCACAGAGGAUUUGGGGAGCAGUGAAACUAUUCUGUAGGAUACUAUAAUGGAUAUACAUCAUCAUAUAUUUGUCCAAACCUAUAGAAUGUACAACACUAAGAGUAAACCCUAAUGUAAAUAUGGACUUUGGGUGAUAAUGAUGCAUCAGCGUAGGUUCAUUGAUUUUAACACAAGUAACACUCAGGUGGGGGAUGUUGAUAAUGGGGGAGGCUGUGGGUGUGGGGGACAAGGAGUAUGUGAGAAAUCUCUGUACGUUCUCUUCAAUUUUGCUGUGAACCUAAAACUGCUCUAAGAAAUAAAGUCUGUUAAAAAAGUCAACCGAGGGAGAGUUGACUGGGAAGAAGUUUGAGAGGAGCUUCUGUGGUGCAAGUGAUGUUCUCUUUUGAACUGGGUGUGUUCACUCUCUGUAAAUCCAUUAAACUGUAUACUCAUGAGAAAAAUCUCUAGUCAUAGUUGAGAAAGAGAAUCUAUUUCUCUUUUUAGCUCUGUCAUUUCCUUUUUUAAUUUUGAAGCUAAGUAUUAGGAAGAAGGAACU